GGGUGAAAUCAUAAAAAUGAAACCACCCUCCAGAGUGGAAAUCUUAAAAACGCUCCACCGUCGCGUUUCC